UCUGUCUGGUUGUCAGUCAGCUGAGUUUGGUCCCAUGGCCACUGUCCUCAAAAUGUUUCCAUUUUUCCAUGCGAAAUGUGGCCACCUUGUCGCUCUCUCCAAGGUCUCUCAGGCCCCACCUGACCUCAUUUAACUGCAGUGUGAACAGUCAUUUAUCACUGAGUUUGUCCCUUCCCCUCCCCGCCUGUGUCUUGUGGUCUCUGGAGGCAAACUCCUAGAAGCAAAGAUGUCACAGCACUCCAGGGCUGCCUUGUGCAGCAAGGAUUAUAACUGAGCUGCUAAAUGACUUUGUCUAUGAAGAUUUCACCCAUGACAGUGGAUUUUAGUGCAUUAACAGAAGGUGCACAUUGCCAACUAUGUUAAUUAAGCUCUCUUGUUUUUUGUUUUUAAUCUGAAGAGAACACUGUUGCCUGAAGGGAAAAAUACCAUCUUUCCAUUCUGUGGCUGCUGAUCCCCGCAGGUCGCAGGCUGUGAGAAACAGUGUGGGCUUGAGUUUUCUGGAAGCUGUAAGUCCAGGCCGCAGCUCUAGAGACUAGGUUGCUUCAGCAUCGUGAGGUGAAAGGUCUGCAUGUUGGGGAGCACAGCUCCCGACCCCUGAAACUUGCUAGGCAGUGGAGACUUCCACAUAUAUAUUCUUUUCGAUGUUUUUGAAUUUUGAAUGCAUCUGAAUGUUUUGACUGUAUUUGAAUGUUUUUGAAAUCUGAAUGUAUUGUUGAAAAAAAAUGUAAAAAUAGGAAAUGAUAAAGCUGUUACUCUUCCCCAACAAAGAGGAGCAAAUGGAGAAGGACGGACUUCCUUCUAGCUAACCUUCUAGGUUAAUUGACUACUAAUUGCUUUCCCAUGUUGUAUUUCUGUGUCUUGACAAGUAAGACUUUGGGCCUGGCAGGAAACAUGUGGUGCCCUUGUAUUGGGCAAGUUGAGAAGAGCUUACUAAAUAGAUGGUCACAAAGCUUGGGCGGGGCACAGGAAAACCACAGAUGAGUGGGCAGAACCCCAGUUUACCACCCCAGGCCUAAGUGUUAUAGGCCAAGUGAUCGCUAGCGCUGAUGGGAGCUGAUCUUCCCUGGAGGGUGCCCUGCAGAGGAUCUGGGAGAAUCCCCACCAGACUAUAUGCUCCUCCCUCCCUUUGACCUCAUGGCAUUGUCAACCAGAGGACCAGGGACUCCUUGAUGUCCAUGUCUGGACUGGCACCCAAAUUUCUGAAGUUGGAAGGCUGACUCCAAAAGGCCAUUAUCCACUGCAGCUGGCAGGUCAUCCCAGGAUCAUCCAGACACACGGCCUCCGACCCCGCUGUUACGCCUUUGCCACUUUCCUCCUUCGCAGGACAUCCUCUUCUCUCUCAGUCCUCCUGUCCUCCCCAGCCGCGGCUUUCCUGCUAAGAUUCUGGCCACACCAGUUCCCACCUUCACUGAAGAGGACUUUCAAUGAAGACUGAGGAAGUUGACAUUGGUCUUAGAGGAAGUAGGGAGCCACUGACAGGUUCUGUGCAGGGGGAAAACAAAACCAAAGUGUUCUUUUCGAAAAUGGAUGAUAUAACCAGGGCCUGGAGAGGAACUGGCUGCCAGAGCACAAUUUGACCAAGGUCGUUCCAGAGCCCUCACCCGGGAAACAGUUUCGUGCCUCUAUGUAGAGAGCCACAACAGUCACGGUGGAGAAAGGAAAAAUAAAACCAAGCCAAAAAAAAGUUUAACAUGGAAACACAGUUAUACAUUUAUGUGCCAAUCUACAGUGAAAAAUCGUUCCACCUCCAUCACCGAGGAAACACAAAUUUAGGCCACGGUCACUACCCUACGCCUGUUCUAACCAGAAUGGCUAAAAAGAAAAAAAAAAAAAAGAAGAAAAGUAUUUGUGAAACUUUGGAGUAAGAGGAGCUCUCGUGUGGAAGUGAAAAUUGAUUGGACAAACUAUGCAGCUGUACUUACUGAAGCCGAGUGUGUCUCACACACUGAUCCUGCAGUUGCACUCCUUGGCAUAGCCCCUGUGAAAAUGCCUGUGUGUGCACUGUAAAGACACAUGCCACCGUGUCCCCAGCAGCAUUGCUUGUGGUAGACUCAAAGUGGAAACAACUUAAUAUUCCAGCAACAUGGAUAAAUAAAUUGUGGUAUAUUGUGCGAUGGACUGCUGUAGAACAGUGAUCACUAAUGAACCACCUGGAAGAUGGCAUGACAAUCUUUUUUUUUUUUUCCAAGAUUUAUUUAUUUAUGCAUACAAGAGUUGGGGUGUUGGCCAGAGGUGCAGGGGUUGAGAGGAUUCACCAGAGACAGAGUGGGGAGCAGAACAGGCAGACUGACUAAAAUAUACUGCUGAGGGGAGCAGCGGGCGCUACAGGAGAGGUCUGCUGUGCCAUGUGGGUAGCUCCCUGGCCAGUGGGGGAUCAGGAAUUGAACUCAUGCUGCAGAGGCUGAAGAUAGCUUCACAGUGCUGUGCUUAACCCCUUGCGCCACCAGGGAGGCCUGACAUAACAGAAUCUUGUGGAUAGAAUGUUGAGUGAAUAAAGCCAGGCCCAAUAAAAUACAAAAAGUGUGAUUCCACUGAAAGGAAGUUCCAGUCCUUGCUGUUGUAAGUCAGGAGUCUGGUUACCUACUGGUGGUCACUGGCAUGGGACACAGAGAGGGUCAUGGGUUCUGGUAGUGACCCAGUGCUUGAAUGGGGCCAUCGUUAUGCAGAUGUGUUCACUUGGAACACUUAUCAAGCUGUGCAUUCCUGUUUGCACUUAGCUAAUAACUGUAUUUAAAAAGUACUUGAGUGAUAGUAAAACUUGGUUCUAGUCUUACCUGUGAGUGCCUCAAGCAAGUAACCUCUCAUAGAUCCACUUUUCUUGUAAAAUCAUUGUCUUGGACUAGAUUGUGGUUUGCAAAUAUCAUAGCCACCUCUUCAAACAAAAAUCUAAAUAUAGGAAACAGAUCAAGUGGAUGGUGACGA